UCCAUCAAUCAGAACAGAACAAAAUAGAACAUGGACUUGCCUUCUUAGCAGACAACUGAAACUACGAGAUCAAAAAAAGGAAAUGGCUCUUCUUAACGUCUCUUUAUGUACAAAAAUCCCACCAAAACCCCAUCUCUCAAUAACCAAACCUUCCCUCUCAAUCCCACACUUGCCUUCUCUAUCCUUCUCUCACUGUGAUAAGCCACAGGUACAUUACACUCUUCUUCUUCAUCCUCCUUUUCUUUUACGGUUUCACACUUUCUCGUUGUUUCUUCAGCAUCAGGCAUUGAUACCAAACAAGCAGCUGGUGGAAGAUUUUGCAAAGACGGGAUUCCUUGCUAUCCUCUCUGUUUCUCUCUUUUUUACUGAUCCUGCACUUGCAUUCAAGGGAGGAGGACCGUAUGGUUCUGAAGUUACGAGGGGUCAGGAUCUUACUGGCAAGGAUUUUAGUGGCAGGACCUUGAUUAAGCAAGAUUUUAAGACGUCCAUACUAAGACAAGCCAAUUUCAAAGGUGCAAAAUUGCUGGGAGCUAGUUUUUUCGAUGCUGAUUUAACAGGGGCUGAUCUUUCAGAUGCUGACCUUAGAAGUGCAGAUUUCUCAUUGGCAAAUGUGACAAAGGCAAAUUUGAGCAAUGCUAACUUGGAAGGUGCACUUGCUACUGGCAACACAUCUUUUAGAGGAUCAAAUAUAACAGGAGCUGAUUUCACAGAUGUGCCCUUAAGAGAGGACCAACGUGAAUACUUGUGUAAAUUUGCAGAUGGGGUGAAUCCAACUACUGGAAAUGCAACACGUGAUACAUUGCUUUGCAACUAGUUUCUUUUCAUACUGAAGAAAUGAAACACAGGGGAGCGGCUUCACUGCAUCUGUAACAGCUGCAAUUUUCGUUUGAGCUCAGAAAACACCCACUUAACAAUUGUUCGCAAUGAAACCUCUUGUUAUGGAAAGAAACCAAGAUUUCUAAGCUUCAGUUGCUAUUGACAGUCUCCCAUUGUUACUCAGCCUAUACCCUUUUCAGUGAUUUUGUUUUCUGAAGCAUUCGUCUUCGCCCCUGUCUCAAUAGUACGGCAUCAUUAACUUCAACUAGUUUUCUUUGCUCUCUGUAAUUACCGAAAAACUCAGAUGCUAUUUGCUAGUUCUUGGUUUGUAGAGGUCUUCUGCUGCUACCAUCUUAAUUAGUUAAGAUAUCUAAUUUGUGUUAUAUAUGAUGGGUAUACAUUGUGAAA